rnacentral:misc_RNA from 1 species
GAUGAAGAACGUAGCGAAAUGCGAUAAGUAAUGUGAAUUGCAGAAUUCAGUGAAUCAUCGAAUCUUUGAACGCACAUUGCGCCCCCUGGUAUUCCGGGGGGCAUGCCUGUUCGAGCGUCAUUACAACCCUCAAGCUCUGCUUGGUAUUGGGCCCCGCCAGUUCUGGCGGGCCCUAAAGUCAGUGGCGGUGCCUUCCGGCUCCGAGCGUAGUAAUUCUUCUCGCUCUGGAGACCCGGUUGUGUGCUUGCCAACGACCCCCAAUUUUUUAAGGUUGACCUCGGAUCAGGUAGGGAUACCCGCUGAACUUAAGCAUAUCAAUAAGCGGAGGA